AGUGGAAAUGGAGGUUUUAUUCAUUUGCAAUUGCAAAUGUAAAAUGUCAUAUAGAGUGUUGUUAUUUUUACGCGGCGGAUAAAUUUGUUUGUUUUUCACGUUAACCUUUAAGUAGUUUGAUUUAUUCGAACUUUAUCUCUGAUUCGAACAUCGUCUUCUAACAUGACAAUAAAAUUUAGUUAAUAUACAAAAUUUUUUUGUGAUCGUAAACUAUAAACCGAUACUGUGCGUAAUAAGACAUGAAAUAACUAAUAUUUUUGGUUAUUGGCUUGGAAAGUAUUGUAAUUCACUUCUCUACUUUCAAAGCAGUGGAGUAAGAGCAAAUAAUAUUGAAGAGUGUAACCUGUUUAUACACAAGUAUUCGUUGACUUAAAAUGUGAAAAUUUAGCCUAACUCAAAAGUUGUUAUUUGUACAACAUGCUUUAAAACAAAAUAUAAAACUAUUACAAAUAGUAAAGUGGUUUAUUGUGCAAAUCUUCGUUAUUUAAAAGUUGGUUCUAAUGGAAAAAAAAAAAAAGGAAAAAUAUUUUUUAAUUACCGCCUAGACUGUGAAAAAGAUAAUGUCAACUCUUUGAUUUACUGAGAACAAAAAUAAAGAUGUCGUUAACGAAAAAGGAUCCAACGCUGCGAGUUGCUGCCAAUGAUCCGCAUUUGGUCAGUUUGGGAGGUGGACGUUUGAGCACAGCUGUUACCAUACAUUACAUACCCAUAGGUGAUAUGACUAUUGGCUCGGCUUCCACUUGCAGUAUAUCUUUGAAUGGUAGUGGGGUCCGAUCGAUUCAUUGUACAAUAUAUCGCAGUGAGGAGAACGAAGUGACAAUAGUACCAGAACAGGAUGCCCGUAUACUGAUCGACGGCACGAAGAUCACGCAUGAGACGAACUUAACGCAGGGCGCUAUGAUCACCAUUGGUAAUUCCAAUUAUUUGCGGUUCAAUAAUCCCGCCGAGGCUCAGUUGAUACGUUCUACUAUGGGUUCGAAUGAACGUAUUUCAAUGCCCCAAAUAGACUUCACUCAAGUGCCACGACGCGAUUCCACGAAAAGCCUUAGCUCCAGCAAUGGAAGUGCAGAUGUGCGCCAAUCGUUAGCCAUUGACUCGUUCUACGAGGAACAUAUUAGCCCUAUGUCAAUGUCGAUGAGUAGAGAGACCACGAAAAGUAUGCUAGGCAGCGAUAAAUCGUUGUACCACAACGUGGCUCUAGCGCCGAUCGACAUCAAUGGCUUACAUUGCCCGAAGGUUUUCGCCGCUGACUUGGUGACGGUGAAUAUGCCAGCCAAGGAUGUUUUGGGUCAGAAAUAUGCAAACUUUGCAAAGAAUUUGGCUGAAAAUCAUCGCAACGACAAGAAUGCAAGUCCUGUACGCAAUAAUCAAUUAAACAAUAGUGUAAGGGGAGGAGCCCAAAACAGCACAGGGAAUUAUGUUAAUAUUCCGAGCACGUCGAAUUUCAUACAAAAUACAAGUACAUGUGGAAGUGGAAGUGGUGAGUUUUUGGCAAAGGUUAAUAAUACGGCACCAUUACGCACCGUCAAUAGUGCGAACCAUCACAACGUGUCUGCUUACGAUCGCUAUCCGAAGCCCGGCACCUAUGGUGGUUUACAAAUCUAUCCAAUGAACGGAGUCAAUACUGAAAUUAAUAGCAAUUCGGCAAACUCAUCGCCGCUGCAUCGUUUGCAGUACGAGAGCUCACCAAGCAUGCAGCGUAGAAAUCUCUCGAACCUUAGUACUUCAGAGAACGAAUGCCUUGAGGAUAUGCUAAAAAUAUGUACCGAAUAUUCCGAUCGACAAAAUCAGAGUUGUGCUGCUUCUCUUACUUCCUCACCUAUAGUUCAAAACCGGAUAAAAACAAAUGGUUCACUGCCACGUGACAAAAAGUCUCCCUUCUACUUCGACCUAUCUGGUUCGCAACUUCAACAAUCUGUCUCAGGUAGUAGUAAUAAUCUCAGCACCCAAACACAUAACGGUUCAAACUCCGUCUCCAGCUCCUCUGGUUACGAGAACGUUCGUUUAGUGAGUCAGAAUCGAAUAGAAAUUGGUGGGCAAACAGAAGGACCCACUUCACCGAAGACAGGUUAUGAAAAUGUCGUUAUCGGCAAGUAUGUGCCACAAAGUCCUCGCACCAAAAUUAGAACGACCUGUAUGUCACCGAAAAAGGAGCAUUCUUUCAGUAGUGUGUACGGUCAAGCGCCUAUUGCAGCAAAACCUCCCCCAGUGGCACCGAAGCCUUCAAAACAUAGUGAAUAUGAGCAACUUAUCAAGACUUUUGAGGAGAAACUUAAAUUAGAAAUGCAAGCCAUCGAGGAGAGCAGUCGAUAUCAGUCAACUAACGCCGUGAAAUCCAUAUCGGCUUCCGCUGAACAGUCGCCAGCAAAACGUACGAAUAAAAAUGUCAACAAUCUCACAUUGAACUUACCCGAAUCGAAUUCGUUGCAAAAUUCGCCCAAACUACAAAAGAAACCAGCACCUGCACCACGAAUGUUUUCGAGAAGCGCAUUAGCGAGCUUUAAUAAAAGUGGCAGCGCUAAAACUAUUGAUUUACAAAAAGCAGCUGCGUCUGUGCGAAAUGAUGUUGAAGAAGCAUUGAAAUCCAAGCUGGUUCUGAGUGGCUGCGAAGACAUUGAUCAACUUAAGCUGAAAAGAAAACAGAAUUUGAUGCGAAUCCAUGAGUUGAAGAAUGAAAUAUCCGAACUGCAAAAGCAGGAAUCGGAGGAACUAAGAGAGUUGGAUAUGGAAAAGGCGCUGGUGAAUGCAGAACUGAAUUCCGUUGGUGGCUCGGUGGGCGAGUUGGAGACGCAACUUGAGCUUUUGCAAAACAAGAUUCAUCGUUUUGAAGCACAACGAAACGCUACACGAGUAAUGGAGGAGAAUCAGCAGGCUAAAUUGAAACAAUCAAUUGAAAUGAAGCAAGAUCAAGUGAAGAAGCUAAAGUCGAUGUUACAACAGAAACCGAGCAAUGAUUGCCUCAAGGAAGAACUGCAUAAUGUAAGUGAGUCGCUGGAGAAUGACCGAAAGACGUUUGAAGACUUAGAGUUCCAAUAUCUGGAAGAAGAAUCCGAGUGGCACGCUUACCGGGAGGAGCUGCACAACGAAGAAGCGAAUUUAAGUGUGAAAAUAAAAGAAAAACGCAUUGAACUGCAACAUCUAGAGAGACAGGACUUGGGCAAUAUAUCGGUACAUGCAAAAACUUUAAAAUCAAAGUUAGUGAGUGCAUGUAAUUCGCUUAAAAUAGAAAAGGAAUACCUAAAAGCGGUAGAAAACAGUAUUUGUGAUAUAACUGGCGAUUUAAAGGUUAACUCAUCCGAAGAAGAUAUCAGCACGACAUCUUCCGCUUCACCGAUAUUGCACAACAAUCUGGCAGCGGGUAUUAUGUCACAAUCUCUCUUUGGCUCCGCCGAAUUGCUUUGUCCAAAGCGUACCACUGAGGAUGUAAUGUCGAAAAGCGUAAAUGAGAAUAUGUUUUAUAAUAACAAAAUCGAACUGCCAUCGCAAGCACCAGUCACAAGUACUCCGAAACGUAAGCAACUUUAUGUAGUUGACAUUGAUGAUGCCACAAGUGAUAUGCGGAGGUGUACUGAAGUUGAGGCAACUGCCAUGUUGAAUGGCAAACUUGACGUGCCAAAUUGUGAUCAGCACGAUGAGCGGGUAAAAUUUAAUCUUUCGUUGGGCAACGAUGAUUUUGAAGUAAAUCCGCUGGAACGUCGUGUGCCUUCCCAGGAUGAUAUUGAUCGCAUAUGUAAAGUGACUAGUAGUGCACCGAUAUCAACAAAAGGUGCUAGUACUAGAAUAUUUGAUAGUAUCAAGGAAAUUGAACGAAAUCGUCAAUUGCUGCUGGCCCAGCAAGGUCAUCACGUGAUCGAGCAUGAACGCCAGAAAAUCAUUGAUUUGAAAAAAAAAUGCCAUGAUGAAGCACGCGCCCAAUAUCUUCUAAAACUGAACAAUGACGAAAAAGACAAUAGCGGCAAUAAUGCCCUGAGCAAUUCAAAUCAAGCUGAAAUGCGAGAGCUCCAAUGCAUUGAAAGCGAUGAAACUAAUGUAUGUUCCACCAAAGAGGCCCAAUCGGGCGUGUGUUCGUCACAAAAGAAGAACUCUACAUUCGGAAACGGAAAAACUCUUUCUCCACGGAUUGGAGUUCAUGAGGGAGUGAAUAAAAUACAAGCGGAUAGAUCUAGUCAGAAUUUGUUUUCCUGCCAAUACUACUCGUAAGGAAAUAUAAAAGCGGGCGAAUUGUUAUUCACCAAAAUACAUACAAAAUUACUCGCCAAUUUGUUCAGAGCAUGAAACCGAACAAGCGUAAUUGAGGAGUAAAUAUUUACUUCCGCAGGCGGUUGUUAAACAGAUUCUGCGAAUUUAAGUUUUAUUUCAUUAUGCUUCAUUUAAUUUUGGCCACGGAAUGGUGAAUUAUUAAAUAAUACAAAUUUAAUUUGCUUUUCUGAGAUAGUAGUAUUAGAAACAUAUAGACAUAUGUGUAUUCAUCAAUGAAUUAUACUACAAAUUAAGCAAGCACACUACAUUUAGGUGGUUCCGUGCACUGAAGGGGUAUGUAUAAAAUCUCUUAAUCUUAACCGUUCUAAAAUGUUUGUUUCAAUUUGUUUGCGAUUAAUACAUACAUAUUUUAAAAUUUCAUUUAAAUCAUACCUAACUUUAACACCAAAAGCUGUUAAUUGGUUUUCAAUUGUGUUAAUCUUGAAUUACCACAUUUUCUAGUAUUUCACAUAAACAUCGCGGAAGGGCAAAACACGAAAAAUAUUCAUACAUAGACAGUAUUUAAGCUUGUAAUGAACAAAUGUACGUUACAAUAAUUUAAAUAUGUAUAAAAGUACAUAUUUUUUAGAGUGGUCUAAUAUGUGUAGACCUACCCUAAUCCCAAUGCAAAUAUUAUUUAUUACUCAUAAUUUUUUAGAGCGGGAAAUUCUUCAAUAAUAAGGAGAAUUGGUGGAAGCGCUAUGCAUGUGCCCGUCGAUAUAAUGUUUAUAUACAAUACGCGCAAGUUCUAUUUCUCAGAUAGUCCACUAACUCUUACUCAUCGCUGAAUAUUUUUAAAUGAUAUAUCUGUGUCGGAAAAGUUUGCCAUGUUGGAAAUAUUCGCCAAAGUUUUACCUCCUAAUGCUUGACAUUUGCUGUACUCAUACAAAGUAAGGUGAACGAUUUGAUACAAAAACAAAGAGAAAGCAGGUAUAAUGUAUUUCAAUGAACAGUAAAAUCGUUUCAGUAUCGUCAUAAAAUCACUCAACAAAUAUAUAUAUAAAUAACAGUAAACCUGCAAUAAUAUAUUGUACCUAAAGAACCUUCAAAUGAGUUGCUUUUCAUUUCUAUCACUGAUGCUCAAAUGAGUACACGCGAUGUUGAAUUUUCUAAGCAAAGUUUGUAAUUGUUGUCUCCUGCAUUUGGCCUACACAUCUCUGGACAACAUCCGCCAAUUUGUGCGCAUGGAUAUGUAUGUGAGACACUUAAAUACACUUGAAUUUGCGCUAGGAAAAUUAUUCUCAGUUUAAAUGGCAAAAUGAUCGCACGAAUAUAAAAAUUUCAGUAUUUAUUAACUUCUCACAGUGUUCGGAUGCCUAGAACAUAUAUAUAUUAUAUAAAUAUUGAUGCAUACGUGCAAAUGUUUAUUCAUUGCGAUAAAUGUGAAUUUAUUGAAUUAAAUUUUAGAAAGCAUACGCGUCGUGUACAAAAACGAAUAAAGAAUUAAAGCAAAAAAAAAAAAAUUAUCUACAUAUAUCAACAACAAAUUAAAUAGAAAUUGUAGGGUCGACCAUGUCAGUUUGGAUGAAUUAUGUGAAGCAUCGUCAUGCAGACUCAAACAAACGUUAUAAAACUGAGUGCUACUAUCAACAACGUCACUCGCAGCCUGAAUUUGUAGAAACACAACUACGUCAAUCGCCAUCCAGUCCACGGCCACUAUCAGAGGCCAAUUCGGAGUUGAGUUGCAAUUUGCUAGAGGGCGACCACAAAGGCACGUGCAAGUCAAACUUUGAAUUGUCCACCGUGUCGCCAAAUGCCGCCACAAAAGUAAACAAUGUAUACUCCACCGAGCGCAUAUCCAACGACGUCGCCGAGGCGAGCAACAAGCGUUCGAGCGUCAAUUCCAACGAGACUACGUCAGGCGGUAGCGUCAACGGUAGUGCGCAUGGCGAUCGGAAACGUGCUCUUCCCAAACAUCAACGUCCGUUGACACGCUAUCUGCCAAUCUUUUCUCCGGAUCUUAAUUUGCGCCAUCACAUAGAGUCGGCUGGGCACCAGAUUACGCUAUGCCCGCACGUCUUUGUCGAUGCCUUUAGUUGUCGAGGUUAUUUGCAUAAAUUGGGCGCUACUUUCCACGGCUGGGCUCGGCGAUGGUUCGUACUUGAUCGCCAGCGAAGCGCUUUCAUCUAUUACGCGGAUAAAUCGGAGCGGAAACCCAGAGGAGGUGCCUACUUUUCGACAAUAGACGAAGUGUAUUUGGACCAUUUAAAUGCAUCGAAAAGUGGACGUCCACAUUGCACAUUAAUCGUUAAAACCAAGAAGCGCAGCUAUCAUCUGCAGGCGGCAUCAGAUGCUGCGGCAAGAAUAUGGAUCGACGCCAUUAUUACUGGCGCUCAAGGGAAUUUAGACUACUAAGAAUAGAUACUUCUACCGUAAAUAAUAAGUUACUUAAAUUACGUUUGCAAAUUAGCAUGUUUUAAGGCCGCAGAAGUAAUCGCUAAGUGUAAGAAACUCUUGUCUACCAUAUGCGAAGUUGCCCAAGUUACUAAUGAAGAUUAAACUACUGCUCACACAUACCUUGUAUGAUUAUAGGAAUUUAACAAAUAAUCGACUAAUUAAAAAAUUUAUGACCGUAGCUUUUAAAUAGGUUUAAGCUAGUUAUAAGUGUUGAAUAAGUGAAAUUAUAGCUCAAACCUACAAGCAACAAAUUGGAAACAAUAAAAAAAAUGACAGCUAUUCCGGAGUAUAUACUUGAGUAAAGUACUGAGAUCAUCCUAUUAAACUAAUCAAAUAUAAAUAUGUUUCUAAAUAUGAGUGCCUUUCCAAUAAUUUGCAAUGACUGUGUUUCUAAUUUCGUUGCUUUUUGAAGGAAAUUUUAUUUUCGAAUUCAGUUUUCAUAUACACCACUAAAGUAUACAUACAUAUUUAUAUGGUAUAUUAUAGUUUUAUAAUUCAUAUUUUGUAUUAAGGCAAGUAUUUUUUCACUAACUUGGUAGAGUAAAAAUUUUGAAAACUA